CACGUAGGGGGCGAGCGUUGUCCGGAUUUAUUGGGCGUAAAGAGCUCGUAGGCGGCUCAGUAAGUCGGGUGUGAAAACUCCAGGCUCAACCUGGAGACGCCACCUGAUACUGCUGUGGCUAGAGUCCGGUAGGGGAGCAUGGAAUUCCUGGUGUAGCGGUGAAAUGCGCAGAUAUCAGGAGGAACACCAGUGGCGAAGGCGGUGCUCUGGGGCGGAACUGACGCUGAGGAGCGAAAGCGUGGGGAGCAAACCGG
rnacentral:rRNA from 1 species